AUCCGGUGGUUCUGCGUGGAAGGGCCAUCGCUCAACGGAUAAAAGCUACCCUGGGGAUAACAGGCUUAUCUCCCCCAAGAGUCCACAUCGACGGGGAGGUUUGGCACCUCGAUGUCGGCUCAUCACAUCCUGGGGCUGGAGUAGGUCCCAAGGGUUGGGCUGUUCGCCCAUUAAAGUGGUACGCGAGCUGGGUUCAGCACGUCGUGAGACAGUUCGGUCCCUAUCCGUCGCAGGCGUAGGAAAUUUGAGAAGACCUGUCCUUAGUACGAGAGGACCGGGAUGGACGUACCUCUGGUGUACCAGUUGUCCUGCCAAGGGCAUGGCUGGGUAGCUAUGUACGGAAUGGAUAAGCGCUGAAAGCAUCUAAGCGCGAAG
rnacentral:rRNA from 1 species